rnacentral:lncRNA from 1 species
GGAGCAGAUGGAGACUCACAAGCGGAAUGGUGGAGAUAUACUGCAAGACCGGGAGCUCAGGAAGCAAAUUUGUACGGAGCAUGUGGAAGAACAGGGAAACACACCUCAGUAAUCACAAGUGCAUCGUAAUAAAUUAGAGUGGAGUGGAGAAUUUAGGGAAUCACAUCUCUGCAAUGAUGAGAAACUGCUGGUCAGGUAUCACCUAUCACCGAAAGAUGUUCAAGAGGAAGGGGGUGGUGGUGG